ensembl:Mt_tRNA
UAGAUGGAUGCUCGCUGGUUAGAGUGUCUAGCUGUUAACUAGGAAAUUGUAGGAUCGAGGCCUUCCCAUCUAG